GACGAACGCUGGCGGCGUGCCUAACACAUGCAAGUCGAGCGAUGAAAGCCUUAUGAACUAUGCGUAGUGAUUGGGGCCGAAUUAGCGGCGGACGGGUGAGUAACGCGUGAGCAACCUGCCUUAAAAAACGUGAUAGCCUCGGGAAACCGAGAUUAAUACCGUAUGAGACCCCGCCUUUACAUGAAUAAGGGGUUAAAGAUUUAUCGGUUUAAGAUGGGAUCGCGUCUGAUUAGCUAGUUGGUGAGAGAAAAGCCCACCAAGGAAAAGUUCAGUAACCGGCUUGAAAGAGUGAACGGUCACAUUGGAACUGAGACACGGUCCAAACUCCUACGGGAGGCAGCAGUGGGGAAUAUUGCACAAUGGGGGAAACCCUGAUGCAGCGACGCCGCGUGAGCGAUGAAGGAAUUCGUUUCGUAAAGCUCUGUCCAAGGGGAAGAUAAUGACAGUACCCUUGGAGGAAGCCCCGGCUAAAUACGUGCCAGCAGCCGCCGUAAAAC
rnacentral:rRNA from 1 species